CCUCGGAAAACUAGCAAAAGAUUCGAUCUUUGAUCGCUUUUCAGCAAGGAAGGGAGGUGAAGUUCCCCUUAUCCGGUUUCUGGGCUCGAUAAGGUAAGGAGUCCCGUUUUCAAUAGAAGGGCCUUCUUUUGCUCGGAGUCCGGCGACGGUGGGAGCCUGCCGGGGAAUGGGAGGGUGGCAGGCGAAGUUGAGAUCGCCGAGGGAGGUGGA
rnacentral:lncRNA from 1 species